GAUGAACGCUGGCGGCGUGCUUAACACAUGCAAGUCGAACGAAGAAGAGUUGAAUGAGAGCUUCGGCAGGAUUUCUUCUCAUCUUAGUGGCGGACGGGUGAGUAACGUGUGGGCAACCUGCCCUGUACUGUGGAAUAAUCACUGGAAACGGUGACUAAUGCCGCAUGUUAUCACCGGAGGGCAUCCUCUGGUGAAAAAAGGAGCAAUUCGGUACAGGAUGGGCCCGCAUCUGAUUAGCUAGUUGGUGAGAUAACAGCCCACCAAGGCGACGAUCAGUAGCCGACCUGAGAGGGUGAUCGGCCACAUUGGGACUGAGACACGGCCCAAACUCCUACGGGAGGCAGCAGUGGGGAAUAUUGCACAAUGGGGGAAACCCUGAUGCAGCAACGCCGCGUGAAGGAUGAAGGUUUUCGGAUCGUAAACUUCUAUCAACAGGGAAGAAACAAAUGACGGUACCUGAAUAAGAAGCCCCGGCUAACUACGUGCCAGCAGCCGCAGUAACAC
rnacentral:rRNA from 1 species